UACGUAGGGUGCAAGCGUUAAUCGGAAUUACUGGGCGUAAAGCGUGCGCAGGCGGUUCGGAAAGAAAGAUGUGAAAUCCCAGGGCUCAACCUUGGAACUGCAUUUUUAACUCCCGGACUAGAGUGUGUCAGAGGGGGGUGGAAUUCCACGUGUAGCAGUGAAAUGCGUAGAUAUGUGGAGGAACACCGAUGGCGAAGGCAGCCCCCUGGGAUAACACUGACGCUCAGGCACGAAAGCGUGGGGAGCAAACAGG
rnacentral:ncRNA from 2 species